rnacentral:rRNA from 1 species
AUUGAACGCUGGCGGCAUGCCUUACACAUGCAAGUCGAACGGCAGCACGGGAGCAAUCCUGGUGGCGAGUGGCGAACGGGUGAGUAAUAUAUCGGAACGUGCCCAGUCGUGGGGGAUAACGUAGCGAAAGCUACGCUAAUACCGCAUACGAUCUCUGGAUGAAAGCGGGGGAUCGCAAGACCUCGCGCGAUUGGAGCGGCCGAUAUCAGAUUAGGUAGUUGGUGAGGUAAAGGCUCACCAAGCCGACGAUCUGUAGCUGGUCUGAGAGGACGACCAGCCACACUGGGACUGAGACACGGCCCAGACUCCUACGGGAGGCAGCAGUGGGGAAUUUUGGACAAUGGGCGCAAGCCUGAUCCAGCAAUGCCGCGUGCAGGAUGAAGGCCUUCGUGUUGUAAACUGCUUUUGUACGGAACGAAACGGCGAGCUCUAAUACAGUUUGCUAAUGACGGUACCGUAAGAAUAAGCACCGGCUAACUACGUGCCAGCAGCCGCAGUAA